CCUGCAGGAUUGUGUGUAUCAGCUUGAUGCUUUAUAUGCAUUAUGUGCUGAAAGUUUUUCCUGCUAUACCAAAAUGGGGAAAGUGGGCAGUUGGGUUAAGCUUAUAUGCUUUCUCCAACAAUCAUUUUCCUCUCAUCU